rnacentral:rRNA from 1 species
AACGAACGCUGGCGGCAUGCCUAACACAUGCAAGUCGAACGAGGCCUUCGGGUCUAGUGGCGCACGGGUGCGUAACGCGUGGGAACCUGCCCUUAGGUUCGGAAUAACUCCCCGAAAGGGGUGCUAAUACCGGAUAAUGUCUUCGGACCAAAGAUUUAUCGCCUUUGGAUGGGCCCGCGUUGGAUUAGCUAGUUGGUAGGGUAAAAGCCUACCAAGGCGACGAUCCAUAGCUGGUCUGAGAGGAUGAUCAGCCAUACUGGGACUGAGACACGGCCCAGACUCCUACGGGAGGCAGCAGUGGGGAAUAUUGGACAAUGGGCGAAAGCCUGAUCCAGCAAUGCCGCGUGAGUGAUGAAGGCCUUAGGGUUGUAAAGCUCUUUUACCCGGGAUGAUAAUGACAGUACCGGGAGAAUAAGCUCCGGCUAACUCCGUG